rnacentral:rRNA from 1 species
UACAGAGGUGGCAAGCGUUGUCCGGAAUCAUUGGGCGUAAAGCGCGCGUAGGCGGCCCUGUAAGUCCGUUGUGAAAGUCAAAGGCUCAACCUUUGAAAGCCGAUGGAUACUGCAGGGCUAGAGUCCGGAAGAGGCGAGUGGAAUUCCUGGUGUAGCGGUGGAAUGCGCAGAUAUCAGGAGGAACACCAAUAGCGAAGGCAGCUCGCUGGGACGGUACUGACGCUAAGGCGCGAAAGCGUGGGGAGCGAACAGG